GAAAAAAUCUAUGGAACCAAUCUAUGGAGCCAAUGGACUUGGCUGCUUCCUUUCAUAAGAGGAGCAUCUUUGUGAAGGUAAUAAAUGACAAGCCCAUCAUUAGCAUCUGGCCAAACCUGAGCAGAAUCCUCAUUUUGCAGUUCAUCAGCUGGACAAUUCCAUUGUUUACAUCAGUCUCCUUUGAUUUGGAAGAAUGCUUCGAUCCUUAUUUGACUUUCAUGAUACUGACA